CCCCUAGAUGUUCUGGGCCGCACGCGCGCUACACUGAACAGUUCAACAAGUCUUAACCUUGGCCGAUAGGUCUGGGUAAUCUUUGAACGCUGUUCGUGAUUGGGAUAGACCUUUGCAAUUAUGGGUCUUCAACGAGGAAUUCCUAGUAAGCGCGAGUCAUCAGCUCGCGUUGAUUACGUCCCUGCCCUUUGUACACACCGCCCGUCGCUCCUACCGAUUGAAUGGUCCGGUGAAAUGUUCGGACCGCGACAAGGCGGACGGUUCGCUGUCAGCUUUGCUGCGGGAAGUUCAUUAAACCUUAUCAUUUAGAGGAAGGAGAAGUCGUAACA
rnacentral:rRNA from 1 species